GACGAACGCUGGCGGCGUGCUUAACACAUGCAAGUCGAACGGAAAGGCCCUGCUUUUGUGGGGUGCUCGAGUGGCGAACGGGUGAGUAACACGUGAGUAACCUGCCCUUGACUUUGGGAUAACUUCAGGAAACUGGGGCUAAUACCGGAUAGGAGCUCCUGCUGCAGGGUGGGGGUGGGAAAGUUUCGGCGGUUGGGGAUGGACUCGCGGCUUAUCAGCUUGUUGGUGGGGUAGUGGCUUACCAAGGCUUUGACGGGUAGCCGGCCUGAGAGGGUGACCGGCCACCUUGGGACUGAGAUACGGCCCAGACUCCUACGGUAGGCAGCAGUGGGGAAUAUUGCACAAUGGGCGGAAGCCUGAUGCAGCAACGCCGCGUGCGUGAUGACGGCCUUCGGGUUGUAAACCGCUUUCGCCUGUGACGAAGCGUGAGUGACGGUAAUGGGUAAAGAAGCACCGGCUAACUACGUG
rnacentral:rRNA from 1 species